rnacentral:rRNA from 1 species
GACGUAGGGCGCGAGCGUUGUCCGGAUUUAUUGGGCGUAAAGAGCUCGUAGGCGGCUUGUCGCGUCGACUGUGAAAACCCGUGGCUCAACCAUGUGGUCUGCAGUCGAUACGGGCAGGCUAGAAUUCGGUAGGGGAGACUGGAAUUCCUGGUGUAGCGGUGAAAUGCGCAGAUAUCAGGAAGAACACCCGUGGCGAAGGCGGUUCUCUGGGACGGUACUGACGCUGAGACGCGAAAGCGUGGGGAGCGAACAGG